GAUGAACGCUGGCGGCGUGCCUAAUACAUGCAAGUCGAACGGAUAUGUAGCAAUACAUGUUAGUGGCGAACGGGUGAGUAACGCGUUGGUGACCUGCCCCGAAGUGUGGGAUAACAGUUCGAAAGAAUUGCUAAUACCGCAUGUGGUCUCUGGCUUUAGAAACCGGUGACUAAAGGAGUAAUUCGCUUCGGGAUGGACCUGCGUCCCAUCAGCUAGUUGGUAGGGUAACGGCCUACCAAGGCAUUGACGGGUAAGGGACCUGAGAGGGUGGUCCCUCACAAUGGCACUGAAACACGGGCCAUACACCUACGGGAGGCAG
rnacentral:rRNA from 1 species